UCGUCAUUAGGUUCCAGGGAUGCAUCUGAGGAACCUCUGGUUCCACAAGUAUCAUUUACAGAUACAUUUGGACAUUGGGAAUCUGAAUCUGAAACUGCAGUUUCACCAUUUAUUCGACUAGAAUGAUGAAAAACACCAUCAUCGUACUCUUGAGUAUCAAUCCCAGAUGAAGAAUCGGGUUCAGAUCCG